ACAGGAGUCACCUGGGGCUCUUGUUAAAAUGCAGAUUCUGAUUUAGUAGGUCUGGGUGGUGGGCUAAGCUUCUGCAUUUUUAACAAGCUCCCAGGUGAUGCUUGA
rnacentral:pre_miRNA from 1 species